AUUGAACGCUGGCGGCGUGCCUAACACAUGCAAGUCGAUCGGUAACAGGUGUAGCAAUACAUGCUGACGAGAGGCGGACGGGUGAGGAAUAUUUGGGAAUCUGCCCAUCAGCGGGGGACAACCCGGGGAAACCCGGGCUAAUACCGCAUACGCUCUACGGAGGAAAGCCGGGGACCGCAAGGCCUGGCACUGAUGGAUGAGCCCAAAUCGGAUUAGCUAGUUGGCGGGGUAACGGCCCACCAAGGCGACGAUCCGUAGCUGGUCUGAGAGGACGAUCAGCCACACCGGAACUGGGACACGGUCCGGACUCCUACGGGAGGCAGCAGUGGGGAAUAUUGGACAAUGGGGGAAACCCUGAUCCAGCGACGCCGCGUGGGUGAAGAAGGCCUGCGGGUUGUAAAGCCCUUUCGGUAGGGACGAAAGCUCCUGCUCCAACAAAGCAGGAGGUUGACUUAACCUACAUAAGAAGCACCGGCUAACUCUGUGCCAGCCGCCGCAGUAACAC
rnacentral:rRNA from 1 species